AGCGUAACUGAGCGCGACGGUUCCCCGAGGACGACUCUGAGGGGAUUAAUAGGGAACACGGUGAGGACGACCCAAGAGGGACCAAAACCGUGGCUGCCCCCGCAACUGUAAGCGGAUUGCCGCUCAUCCAAGGGCCCUUGGGCCAUGCCACUGCGACGAAGUCGCGGGAAGGCAGAUGAAGGCAUAUAUCCGUGAGCCAGGAGACCUGCCGUCAAUCACGAUCCAAU
rnacentral:ncRNA from 2 species